GAUGAACGCUGGCGGUAUGCUUAACACAUGCAAGUCGAACGAAAGUUUUUAACUUUAGUGGCGAACGGGUGCGUAAUACGUGAGAAUCUACCCUUAGGAGGAGAAUAACUGCUGGAAACGGCUGCUAAUACUCCAUAUACCGGGAGGUGAAAUAGUUUCGACUGCCUAAGGAUGAGCUCGCGCCUGAUUAGCUUGUUGGUAAGGUAAUGGCUUACCAAGGCCACGAUCAGUAGCUGGUUUGAGAGAACGAUCAGCCACACUAGGACUGAGACACGGCCCAGACUCCUCCGGGAGGCAGCAGUGAGGAAUUUUCCGCAAUGGGCGAAAGCCUGACGGAGCAAUACCGCGUGAGGGAUGAAGGAUUUUGGUCUGUAAACCUCUUUUCUCAAGAAAGAAGUUCUGACGGUACUUGAGGAAUAAGCAUCGGCUAACUCCGUGCCAGCAGCCGCGGUAAUACGGGGGAUGCAAGCGUUAUCCGGAAUCAUUGGGCGUAAAGCGCCUGUAGGUGGUUUAAUAAGUCUGUUGUUAAAGACUAGGGCUUAACCCUAGGAAAGCAAUGGAAACUAAUAGACUAGAGUAUGGCAGGGGUAGAGGGAAUUUCUAGUGUAGCGGUGAAAUGCGUAGAUAUUAGAAAGAACACCAGUGGCGAAAGCGCUCUACUGGACCAUUACUGACACUCAGAGGCGAAAGCUAGGGUAGCAAAAGGGAUUAGAUACCCCUGUAGUCCUAGCCGUAAACGAUGGAUACUAGAUGUUGUGUUUUUUCACAGUGUCGCAGCUAACGCGUUAAGUAUCCCGCCUGGGGAGUACGCUCGCAAGGGUGAAACUCAAAGGAAUUGACGGGGGCCCGCACAAGCGGUGGAGCAUGUGGUUUAAUUCGAUGCAACGCGAAGAACCUUACCAGGGCUUGACAUACUGCAGAAUCUUUUUGAGAAAGAAGAGUGCCUUCGGGAAUGCAGAUACAGGUGGUGCAUGGCUGUCGUCAGCUCGUGUCGUGAGAUGUUGGGUUAAGUCCCGCAACGAGCGCAACCCUUAUUUUUAGUUACCAACUUGUUGGGUUCUCUAGAAAGACUGCCGGUGACAAACCGGAGGAAGGUGAGGAUGACGUCAAGUCAGCAUGCCCCUUAUGUCCUGGGCUACACACGUGCUACAAUGGUUAAGACAAAGAGUCGCGAGUUCGUGAGAACCAGCUAAUCUCGUAAACUUAGCCUAAGUUCAGAUUGUAGGCUGCAACUCGCCUACAUGAAGUUGGAAUCGCUAGUAAUCGCUGGUCAGCUAUACAGCGGUGAAUCCGUUCCCGGGCCU
rnacentral:rRNA from 1 species